AGUGUAGAAAACGAAGAUAAAUCAAAGUCACUGAAACAAAUUCUUGAUUGGAGUUGAAGAUUUAUUAAAAUAAACGAAGAAUUAAUAAAUCACGAAGUUCAUGUUUUGGGGCUGGGCAACCCAAUCGAAACAAAUUAGCAACUCAUGUCGAUCGUAACGGAAAAGAGGUCCCGCUCUAGAGACGCAACUCGGUUUUUAUACCCCCGAACUGACACGCCUCGCGCACCCAAAAAUUGAGGCGUGUCACACAGACGCAUUGCGUAAUAUCAAUCCACCCAUAAUUAGUUUCCGUAUUAAAAGGUCCUAUAUUUCUUGGCGAAUUUACCCCCAGGAUAUAAGGCGCUCCGGAUGAUCCGCAUCUCUAUUCCUCACAUACUUCUUUCACGCACCCACCUGUGUCUCUUACAUUCUAAUCUCUCAAACAAGAGAUGCAAAUCACCCGGAGACCCAACAACCCUGGAAUAUAACAAGGGAUAAAUGUUGUUAUGUCCGUCCACACUAGCGAGCCCACAUGCUUCUGGCUAUUACACACCUGUAAUCCUCACUUCCCCUCUCAUACUAUUUCGAUAGUGUGAACAGACCCGGCAACAAGGAAAAACCCUUCCAAUUGUAAUACAAAUCUAUUUCCCAAAUUUGCCUGAUUAAAUUUAAGUCAACUGUGGCGACACGCCCAGCGACACCUAAUCCAAUCGGCCAAGCCGAAAAAGUAGAGCCAAAAUUAAGAGCGCAACGUCUCGGAACAGGUGUUAAAAAUAGCAUACAAGGAAUUUGCCUUGUAUAUGUACGUCAAUGAACCUUUGAGGAAAACGUAAACACGAGAAUAUCCAUAUCAUUACAAACUCCCCUACUGAAACGAUCUGUCCCAUAAGAUCGCAA